AUACGUAGGGAGCGAGCGUUGUCCGGAAUUACUGGGCGUAAAGGGCGCGUAGGCGGCGCUUCAAGUCGUCUGUCAAAUGGGAGGGCUUAACCCUUUUUCGCAGACGAAACUGGAGAGCUUGAGAAGCAGAGAGGCAAACAGAAUUCCUGGUGUAGCGGUGAAAUGCGGAGAUAUCAGGAAGAAUACCAGUGGCGAAGGCGGUUUGCGGGCUGCAUACUGACGCUGAAGCGCGAAAGCCAGGGGAGCGAACGGGAUUAGAUACCCCGGUAGUCCUGGCAGUAAACGAUGAGUACUAGCUGUCGGGGGUUACCCCCCUCGGUGGCGCAGCUAACGCAUUAAGUACUCCGCCUGGGAAGUACGCUCGCAAGAGUGAAACUUAAAGGAAUUGACGGGG
rnacentral:rRNA from 1 species